AUUGAACGCUGGCGGCAGGCCUAACACAUGCAAGUCGAACGAGUGGCGGACGGGUGAGUAAUGUCUGGGAAACUGCCUGAUGGAGGGGGAUAACUAAUGGAAACGGUAGCUAAUACCGCAUACCAUCAGAUGUGCCCAGAGGGGAUGAGCUAGUUGGUGGGGUAACGGCUCACCAAGGCGACGAUCCCUAGCGGGUCUGAGAGGAUGACCAGCCACACUUGAACUGAGACACGGUCCAGACUCUUACGGGAGGCAGCAGUGGGGAAUUUUGCACAAGGGGCGCAAUCCUGAUGCAGCCAUUCCGCGUGUAUGAAGAAGGCCUUCGGGUUGUAAAGUACUUUCAGCGGGGAGGCGUUACCCUCAGAAGAAGCACCGGCUAACUCCGUGCCAGCAGCCGCGGUAAUUC
rnacentral:rRNA from 1 species